AACUGAUACUACCUGCGGGAACCUGCGGAAGGAUCAUUAUAGAGUGGUAAACCCCCCGUAAAAGGGGGGGACCUCCUGUCCUUUGUAGGCUCUUUUUUAAAAGGGCUUUUUUUAAUUUUCUGCUUCGGUGGGGUUAUCCCACCGGAACAACCUCAAAACUCUUAUCAAAAAAUCGUUCUGUCUGAGAACCUUUUAUAAUAAAAAAAAACUUUCAGCAACGGAUCUCUAGAUCGGAAGAGC
rnacentral:misc_RNA from 1 species